CUCGCCACUCCUCCCUCAAGAGGUGGAGUCCUGGUCCUCUCCCCGUGAACCUGGACAGAACUUUAUGACAGGCUUGGCCAACAGAGGACAGUGGAAGUGAUGUCAUGUGACUUCCAAAGCCAGGUCAUGAAAGCUCUGUCUCUUGGGCCUCUUGCUCCUGGAACCCAGUGCCAUGUUGUGAGGAAGCCCAAGCCAUUCACAGCUGCUCCUGUUGAGGGCCCUGCCUGCACCAGCAUUAAGCACCAGACAGAUGAGGAAGGAAGCCUGGGAGAUACUGCCAGCCCCAGCCACCCUCUGUCUGCAGCUGUGUGACAGAACCCUCCCAAAACAAGAACCACCCAGUCAACCCCAGAACCCCAAGAGCCUGAGAAUGUCACAUUGGACCAACCCCACCUGGAAAAAGUUGUUCCUGAUCACAAUUUCCGAGCCAAGUCAGGACACAUGAUCCAGUUUGAGUUCGGUGUACUUUUCUGUGAAAAAAUCAUUGUUUAGGAGCUGCAAUGAGG